GAUGAACGCUAGCGGGAGGCCUAACACAUGCAAGCCGAGCGGUAUUGUUUCUUCGGCAAUGAGAGAGCGGCGUACGGGUGCGUAACACGUGUGCAACCUGCCUUUAUCUGGGGGAUAGCCUUUCGAAAGGAAGAUUAAUACUCCAUAAUAUAUUGAACGGCAUCGUUUAAUAUUGAAAGCUCCGGCGGAUAGAGAUGGGCACGCGCAAGAUUAGCUAGUUGGUGAGGUAACGGCUCACCAAGGCGAUGAUCUUUAGGGGGCCUGAGAGGGUGAUCCCCCACACUGGUACUGAGACACGGACCAGACUCCUACGGGAGGCAGCAGUGAGGAAUAUUGGUCAAUGGGGGCAAGCCUGAACCAGCCAUCCCGCGUGAAGGACGACUGCCCUAUGGGUUGUAAACUUCUUUUGUAUAGGGAUAAACCUACCCUCGAGAGGGUAGCUGAAGGUACUAUACGAAUAAGCACCGGCUAACUCCGUG
rnacentral:rRNA from 1 species